UGGACAAACUGCUAUUGGCGAGGUGUAGGCGAUUGCUAAUUGUCUGGAAUAUAAAAAACUUCCUUAGGAGUUCGAAUCUCCUUUUGUCCGA
rnacentral:tRNA from 1 species